AUUGAACGCUGGCGGCAUGCCUUACACAUGCAAGUCGAACGGUAACGCGGGGCAACCUGGCGACGAGCGGCGAACGGGUGAGUAAUGCAUCGGAACGUGCCCAGUAGUGGGGGAUAGCCCGGCGAAAGCCGGAUUAAUACCGCAUACGACCUACGGGUGAAAGGGGGGGAUCGCAAGACCUCUCGCUAUUGGAGCGGCCGAUGUCAGAUUAGGUAGUUGGUGGGGUAAAGGCCUACCAAGCCUACGAUCUGUAGCUGGUCUGAGAGGACGACCAGCCACACUGGGACUGAGACACGGCCCAGACUCCUACGGGAGGCAGCAGUGGGGAAUUUUGGACAAUGGGCGCAAGCCUGAUCCAGCCAUGCCGCGUGCGGGAAGAAGGCCUUCGGGUUGUAAACCGCUCUUGUCAGGGAAGAAAUCCUCUGGGUUAAUACCCCGGGGGGAUGACGGUACCUGAAGAAUAAGCACCGGCUAACUACGUGCCAGCCGCCGCAGUAAAAC
rnacentral:rRNA from 1 species